rnacentral:misc_RNA from 1 species
AUCGCAACCCCCCAACGCACUCUAUGUGUGAAGGGGAGGAAGAUGGCUUCCCGUGCCUCACCGGGCGCGGCUUGCCUAAAUUUGGAGCCUAAGGCAUUGGGUUGCCACGGCGAUAGGUGGUGAACAAGGCCUCGGCCGUGCAAACAACCGGUCGCGGAACCCUUUGACAGUACACGUUCGUAGGAUCCAAUGAUGUUGCCUCGUUGCGACACAAACG